AGGUGUUUAAUCUAAAUAAGACAAUUGAUUUCGACUCAAUUAAUCAUGGCCUAACCCAUGAACACCUU
rnacentral:tRNA from 1 species